rnacentral:tRNA from 1 species
UGGUCUAUGGCUAAACUGGUAAAGGCAUUGCCGAUCACAGGCAAGGUUGCGGGUUCGAGUCCCGCUGGAACGG